AGAGGCCGUGCCUUCCACAAACGCUAUUCUGUACUUGUCAGAAGAAGCUAUUUCUCUACCAUCCUUAAACCAGGACACCCUCAUUGGGAGGGAGCCAGCGAUUUUGCAGUCCAGCCUGCAGGUACUGCUAACAACGCUAUCCAUGUUGCGCAGGGGUUUGGUAAAAAAUGGAGCGAUGUCUCUAUCUGUUCGUGGCACAAGAAGAAAAAAAAGAUGAGCAUGGAAAAGGGCUCGGUGGUUUCAUUUAUGCUCAUUUGUUGGGUUUCAAGGGAACUCGUGGCACAGGUUUCUGAAGAUACUAACCUAACACAGUGAAUGUUGUUUCACAGGAGCUGCUGCCCACUUCGUUGGAAAUCUCAAAUGUGUAUUGGCCACUGUCAUGCAGUUCAGCUGAAUAAAAUUUGAGUUGGGCCACAUUGUUUUUAAAACUUAUUCGAUACUUUUUACUAGCAACCAAAGGUCUCCCAUCUUUGUACCAUUUGGGCUUGAGUUCUGGGGUGCCUGUGACCGUGUACUCCAGUGUGGCUGGGUCUCCUGCCGUCACCUGGAUCAGUUCUGCUCUCUCAACGAUUUUGGCAGGUUCUACAAUGGUAUUAAAUGGUUAGCAUGCCGAAAAGUGCAUUAAGGUUUCGCUUUAAAUGGAAAUAUUGAUUCUAAGUAAAAAUGUUCCUACACGAACCUUUAACUAUUAAUUCCCCAACAGAUGUUUGGCUUCCGGCUUCAUUUUCAGCCAGGCAUGUGUAUUUGCCACCCAAACUAAUCUGAACAUCAGGGAUUAUCAGGACCGCAACACCAUUAGAAAAGCUCAUUUUGAUUUUUCCAUCUUCUUUAAUGAUCUCCUGUCCUUUCAUCCAUGCAACAGAAAUGGGUUCUGACCCUCUCACGGCAGCUUGUAAGGUAACAGUUUGACCUGCUAGUGCAGUAAAAUCAUCUACUUUCUUUACAAAGGUUGGUGGUUCUAGUUAAAGAAAGAGAACAGACAAAACGUAUCAAUUCCCAAGCACUUUCAACACCAUAUACAUCUAAGUGUUUUAAUCUAGAUUACAUUUAUCUUUCCAAUAUUGCUAUCCCAUGGUGUUGGCCAAUUAGAAGAAUAUAUUGAAAUUUAAGAAGAAUGACAACUCCAUCCAAGAGAAAGAAGCAUAGAAGACACAUGGUUACCAGCUGACAAAAUGAUUAUAGAUUAUCCCAUAAUCCACUUUUGUUAUCAGAGAUUAAAUGUUUACAAUGAUCUCAGAAUAAAGACUGGAUGAAGGUCACUGGCUUUGUCCCCAAGGUCCCAGGUUAAACCAAAGGUGAAACAUAUUUUCAAAGAUUAGGAGAAGAGAAGGCACCAGCUUUCCUUCCGUGGGUUAGGAAAGCUACCUUGACAAUUUAUUAAAGAGACAUCAUUAUGUUCAAGCACUGACCUUUUAACAAAUGUGUUGCAACGCAGCCACACUUCCCAACUUCAUUAGCAACGACACAUUCAUAGUCACCCACGUCUGCACUAUUGAAAGAAAAUAUCUCCAGGAACACAAGAGACUUCUGAGAAAACAACCUGUACUUUUUACUACUCCGAAUUUGCUUCUUAUCUUUGAACCAGCUAAUUUCAAAUGGUCCAGUGCCUGAGACUUCACACUGAAGAAGGGCAUUCGUUCCUCUCACUAUAUCUGCAGGCUCAAGAGUUUUGAUGAAAGAAGGAGGCUCUACAAAAGCACGAAAGCAUCGUAUAAGUAACGGGUUACCAGCAAUUAAAAAGAAAAUCUUGUCUCAGAAACACAAAGGACUCUGAGUAGACAAACCUUUGAUAACUAUUUCGGCACUGCAGCUGUCACUGCCAACAUCAUUCACCGCUUCACAAGAGUAAUUGCCACUGUCUUCAACUUUCACAUCCGUAAUAUCAAGCACAGCCUCAGAAUUGACAAAAGACAUUCGAAUAGUGUUACUCUCAUUAAGUUCUUUGUUAUUUUUAAACCAAGUAACCUGGAUCACAGGUGAGCCUUUCAGCUUGCAAUGGAGGCGUGCUGAUUCACCUGGGAGCAUUAAAUAAGAGGGAUCCACCUUCUUCACAAAGGAUGGUGGCUCUACAGGAAGUUAACAAAAAAGAAAAAGGAAAGAGAUCUGAAGCAUAAACUCCACAAAAGAAAAGUAGACAUAUUACAACCAAAAGACACAACACACAUAAAAUAUCUCGAUGAAAGUUCUGUAAAGGUUAUGGUGCACUCAAUAGCUCUCCGUGUUUCCAUGAUUAUAAAACACUUUCCCAGUCUCUCAAUUAAAAAACAAACAAACAAACAAACAAACACAAAACAAGCAAACUCGACUUACACAAAAUACAAUUUUAUAAAAGAAGACAGUCCAGGGUCGCCUAGACACUCGACGUUCUUAGAAGAAAUUUUAAGCAAGCUUUGUUAAUGGCAGACAGCUUUAAAAGAACAAAGUGAUUUCCAAAGAUUGAAAACAUAAAAUCAAACAAUGCCAGGAUUUCCCCAAACCAAAACAAUUUCUUGGAUGAAAUUAUUUUAAUAAUGAAAUGUAGGGGCUGCAUUGUUUGCCAAAGAUUUUCUACAGUGGCAUCCUUAAAGAGAAGGAAGCGAAAGAUAAUAUUCACGCAUUUCUUACCUCUGAUAGUCACUGUGGCUGAAGAGGAGCUGCUCCCAGCCUCGUUGGAAGCUGUACAGACAUAGGUUCCUGAAUCUUUUAGUUUGGCCAGAGGGAUCUCAAGCGAUGCUAUUUUAUCUUCAAAAUAGAUCUUAUAAUCUUUCCCAGGGGGAAGUUUUUGCCCAUCUUUGUUCCAUGUUACUGUAACUUUUCUGUCUUCGUCUACUUGGCACUCAAGGCGGAUCUUCUUAUUGAUAGCUGAUUGCACAGGCUCCAAUUCUUUAAUGAAACGCGGCUUGUCGAUUAUGAUUAACUCAGCUUGGCAGAUGUCAGCUCCAAACUUGUUAGAAGCUUUACAAGAAUAAACUCCUCUAUCUUGAACUGUAAGAUUUGAGAGUUCUAAAAUGUGUUUGUUUUCUGCAUGUGAAAUCUUGCGGUUAGGGGAAGGCGAUAGUGCAGCGCCGUCUUUCUGCCAAAUGGUUUCAAUCACGGGGGUCCCUAACACUGUGCAGAGGAACUUGGCUGUCUUACCCACAAAAGUUGUAAUGGACUUAGGUCUGGAGUAAAAGCUUGGUGGAUACGCCUCUGCAAAAGAAAUUUUUUCAACGUUACAUUUUGUCUCCACGGAAGCUCUUGUUGUAACUGUAUAUUCUAAGAAAGGGAGGAGAUGAGUUCUAUAUUUAGAUAGACAUGAGACAUUGUUUAAGAUAGGAUAAUAAGAUGAAAAGAUCUGUCCAAGGAAAGGGAUGAGUGAGUUCUUUAUAGAGGAGUGAGACAACACUUUAUGUCUCUAUUAAAGGAAAGAACAAAUGUUGCUUUAUCUAGCAGCAACAUCAACUUAAUACAGUUAAAAGAUUUGUCCACUUUAGUAGUUGAUUAGUUGUCUGAAUUAUUUGAUAGGUAAUUCAGCUGUUACUUUAAUCCUGUAAAUUAGAAGACUGUGUAAGAAGAUAAAGAAAAUGCACCUGACUCUUCUGAAGAGUAGGGACAUUCAUUAAGUGAUACGAAGAUCAAGUUAGUGUUGUGAAGUCUCUCUAACCUUCAUGUCAACCAUCAGCAACUCCUUAAAUGGCCCAACUUUGAAUUCAUCCCCUAAAUCAUUUCAAACUUGUAAAAAUAUUUACACCAGUAAUUUCCCAUUUUCAUUCUGCACUUUGAAGGAAGCCUUUCCAAUUAAAAAAAAAUCUCUUCCUUCUUUUGCUCUUGUUAUUUGAAAGUUCAGGUAUUAGUCCUGUUACUGAACUGGCCUAAUUUGGGAGAAGAGGUUUUCAAAAGUGUCCUUAAGAAUACUGCCAGGUAGUGGUUGCAUGGAGACUCUUUGAUCACAAAGUGAAACCAAUAGAUGGGUUAUCAGGGAUCUGGGUUUCAGAUUUUCUGAUAUGUAAAAGAAUUGCAGAGGUGAGGAAGCUACAGGGAACCCUGACUUUUCCAAGUCAAAGAGAUGUGCUGUUUUUGCCUUUCCCCUUCAUGCUUCUGUUGGAAAAGACCUGGGACUGUCCCUCCCAGAUAUUUAAUGCAUAGCUUCUCUCAAAAACACAGGUAAUUGCUACCUAGACCCUAAGCCAUAGUUUUUUUUGUUUUGUUUUGUUUUGUUUUAAUGUUCAUUUGUUUAUUUUAAGGCAGAGAUAGAGAGCAAGCAGGGGAGAGGCAGAGAGAGAGGAAGAGAAUCCCAAGCAGCUCCGUGCUGUCAGCACAGAGCCCAACAUGGGGCUCGAGUUCAUGAACCUUGAGAUCAUGAACUGAGCCAAAACCAAGAGUCAGAUGCUUAACCAACUAAGUCACCCAGGCACUCCUCUAAGCCAUAGUUUAUACUCAUACUUUCCCUUGGAGGGAGAAAGCAAAAGAGAAAGACAGAGACAAAGAAAAGGAAAAUGCUAUACAUUUUCUUUCUUUCUUCUUUAAUCUUUCUUUCUUUCUUUCUUUCUUUCUUUCUUUCUUUCUUUCUUUCUUUCUUUCUUUCUUUCUUCCUCUUUCACUAAUGAGGGAAUUCAAACACUCAAUGAGCAUUAACUACUCAAAAGUUACGCUGUUGGUCAAUUAGGAAACUGAGAACAGAAUAUUUAUAUAGUUGCCCUUAUUUUUAAAUUAAUAAUAAAGCCUAGGGUGAGAAUCCUAGUUUGUAGUCCUGUAUUUUUAUUAGAAUUUAACUUUCAUCUUAUGAUUUGGCUUUUUUCAGUUUGUAAUUCUGUUUUUAACUGGUUAACUGGUUCCAAAUGAUCAAAUACAUUGGGACUUUAUUUUUUAGUAGCACCAAAGUGUCCUGAAAUUUUUCAUAUUAAGUGCCACGCCAGGCCAUGAGGAGUUAUCCGAGGCAUUUCCACAAAGCUAGUCAUUUUUUAAAAUAGAAUGAACAAAACAACACCCUAAACCAAGCUUUCAGGUGCCACUGGUCACUUGAUUCCUUGAUGUUGUUUUCAAAAUAAUGUAGUUUUAUUUUUUCUUUAGUUGCUCUUAGAAAUAUGACUCUAAAUAAUGAUUUCUUGUCCCCCUAUAGACUCUGCAGUACCUAGCCACCGUAUUAUAACUUGGCUAUUGGUCUCUCCAGUUGGUAGGACAUCCUGCACCUGUAUAAAGAACAAAACAGGCAAUGGUAUGAAAUGGGACAAGCACCUCAAUGUAUGUCAUUUACCUGUCACAGUUAGGGUGGCCGUACAGCUGACACUGCCGUACUCGUUGGAAGCUUUGCAGGUGUACUCGCCACAGUCAACAACCUGGGUUCUCAGGAUUUCCAGGCUGGAGACGUAAUUUGAAGAUCGGAUAGAACACUUGUCACUUUCAUAAAUUUCUCGGCCAGCUUUAAACCACUGGAAGCGGACAUUGGGGGCAGUGUGGAUCUCACAGGUGAAUUUGGCCAGGUGGCCCAGAGCUACCUCCAGGGGCUCGAUUCUUCUCCUGAUCACUGGGGCAGCUGCAAAGGGAAGCAGAGUCCAUUAGCAUGCCUCCUUAACAGGCACACCAGUUUUCUUCUAACUUCUGUUGCUGUUAAUGAAGGAAAACAAUUGAAAUUGAUGAAAUGGAUUGCAGCAGUUUAAGACAAGUGACUGGAACGUGAGAACAAUCAUUGAAGGUAAAAGAAGACAAUAGGUAGCUUUUAACAUCUUCAAUCAUUACUCUGCAGUGAAUUGUGAAAAAAAAUGAUUAAAAGGUGAUGCUAUGGGCUUACAUGCAUAAUAACAUGAUGUACUCUAAAUAUACCAUGCUGGCUAGGUACACUGUGAAUAGCAUUUCAUAAUGUGAUAUACUAAAUACAGUGAUGAAGUGAAAACAGCAUCAAAAAAGAAGUAAAAAUACGAAACACAAAUGGACAAUUAAUCAUGGUUAUUUUGAGUUUAGGGAUUAGACUGGCAAUUUCAGAGGAGCUAGGUGUUCACUGACAGCUUUUAUUGCAUAUUAUUAAAGUAUUUUGAAGUAAAUAUAAACUAAAAAAACCUGUUGGUAUUAUGAAACAUAUGAAAAUACGUUUUAUUUUAAAAAUAAAUAGCAACGUAGAGAUGAUGUACUACCCUGUAAGGCAGUCAGGAAAAAGGAGAAGAAUUAAUAACCAUGAUUAUGUCUGUGAUGUCAUUCUUACUCUACACAAAUUGCAUCCUGGCAGAGGCAGGUAAGUGAAAACUCAGUGAUGAAAACUAAAACAUUACGAUUCAGUGAUUGUUAGAGCGCGACCCACUUCAUCCUUAAAAAUCCAACCUCUUUUGACCACAGUGAGUUUUGCUGAAGUUGCUGUGUGUCCAUGUUCAUUCAAGGCCUCACAGGUAUAUGUUCCUUGAUGUUCUUCUGUAUUUACUUUGUCGAUUACUAGCAUGUAUGUAUUUUGAUCUUGUAAACACUUGAACUUUUCAUCUGAACACACCAGUUUGCCCUCAUAAUACCAAUUCACCUCUUUGGCAUUUGUUAUGGAUGACGUGAGGUUGACAGGGUCACCUUCCUCCAUAGUAGUGUCCACCAAGGGCGUGUGUAUGACAGGACCAUGUUCUUGGACUAAGCUGCCCUCAUUUUCCUGUACCUCUUCGAGGCCAACCUCCCUGGUACCACUUCCGGGGGACUUUCCUUUUUCCUCUGAUGGGUCUGGUGUCUCAUCAGGGAUAGCAGCUGAAGCAACCUCAUCAGGGACAUGUAUGUUAUCUUCAACUUUGAUCUGACUUUCCACAUGGAAACAGCUGACCUCUUCCACAGAGACGAGAUAUUUAGAUUCGACUUCGGGUUCUCUGAUUGUUUCGACCUUCUGUGAAACUGAAAAAGGACCCAUUUCUCCUUGCAAGCCUGUUUUGCCUCCUUUCUGGAUUCUGGGAUCCUCAGCUGUUAAGAUGUUUAUUUCCUCACAUAUAAUAGAGCACAAAGCAUCCUUAAGUUCCGUUCUCAAGUUAGCCAUUUGAGGAUCAAUGCCUUCAAUAGCAAUGGUUAAUUCUUCUGUUAGCGACUUCACCGAGGUAAUAAGGUAGGUGCACAUAAUGCGUUUGGGCUCUUGGGUGAAGUUUAUGGCCUUGAUCUCCACCCUUUCAAUGUUUCUUAACCAUUCAGAGAAAAGACUCGGUUGCUCACUGGCCACUGCUGCUUGCAAAGCCCUGCGGAUCUGAAUUUUGAGGUUUAAUCGUUCUUCUUCUGGAAUUCCAGAAAGCAAACUUUCCUUAGAAAGAGUGUCACUUACCUGCACCUCUUGCACACCAUUUAUCACCAUGGGCUCUUUUUUACACUCACUGGUUUGGUUCAGGGGCGCUGCCAGGUUGUCAGAGUGCUCUUUGAGCAGUACCUGCUUUUCCUCACAUGCUAGCGGAAACCUUAGGGACUUGCCUUCCUCAGUCCUGGCUGCAAAAUCUUGCACUGCACUUUCCAGUUGAUCUGUACUUUCCAUCAAAAUUUCACCUUCUGAGCAUGUGUGUUCUGAAGGGAUCUGGGGCUCACAGUUGACCUCAGAGAUUGUGAUGUCAAGACCCUUGAAACUUUCCAUGCUGCCCUCAGCUAAGCUCUGACUCAGGAUGAGAGCACUUUGUUCCUCCUGCUUUUGCAGAAUCACUCUUUGCUCAGUAUCCAUUGUGGAUACUGUCUUUUCUUUUGGUAAAAGUACUUCCUCAGCCACAGAGGUUGGAUAUGAAUGGGCUGGAGCUUCUUCGAUUGAAGAUUGUGGAUAACUCCCUUCAGGUUCAGCUAAUAACGUUUUCAGAGGCUCCACUGGUAAUGAAGUAAUUUCCUCUAUGGAAAGAGCACUUGGGAAGACUUUUUCAGUAUCUGAUAGGACCCCCUGUGACUCUGGCUCUUGAGGCACUAGAAUAUCUUCUUUGGGGAGGGUUUUCUGGGCCUGCACAAUCUGCAGCUGUAAACUGGGAGACGGUUCCUUGAUAGACUGAACAUGAAGAGUGCCACUGAUGGAGAGAAGUUCCCUGGUGCUGUCUGCAUUAGGCAUAUUCUGCUCCAACGUGACUGUGGAUUGCAGUUGUUCAGCCACUAAAGUAACUUGACUACUCAGUUCUUUGGUUUUAAUCACAUGCUCAUAAGAAAGCUGCUGGUUUUCUUCUGCAAUUAAAGCAGCUUUCAAAACAGUAUCCUUCACAAAAGCUGCAAUUUCCUGCUCGGAGUCAAAUGCCUCAAUGGCAGGAUCCUUUAAUGACAUCGGUGGAAAAUCUUUAGUAGCCUCUGGCAUGGGCUUUGCUUUACUGGGAGCAUCAGUCACGUUUGGGUCUUCCAGAAGCACGAGAAGCUCUGCAGCACAGGUGGACUCACCCCACCUAUUCUCUGCUUUACAGACAUAGAGGCCACUAUCUUCCCUCUGAGGGUCAUUGACAAUGAGCGUCCCGGAACCAUCAGGAUUAUGAAUGAUGGUGUAAUAAACACUGGUGUAAAGCUGUUUGUUUUCUUUGAACCACAAGACAGUGGGUGCAGGCUCUCCAAGUACUGUGUACUCAAAGAUGGCAGGGAGCCCCUGAGCACAGUGAAUUGGUUUGAACUCCUUAACAAAGUAAGGAGGACAGGGACCUUCAAACUUGUCCAGAAUUUCUUCCACUGGUUCUGGUUCUGUCUCUUUGUGCCCCUCUCCUUUGGAGCUUAUUUUUAGAUAGGCACUGCAUACUGUCUGUCCGUAUUCAUUACUGGCGAUGCAUGUAUACUCUCCCUCAUCCUCAAAUUUGGUGAACAGAAUGAUCAGACUAUGAUCAUUACCAUCGAAAACAAAUUUGUAGUCAGCAGAAGGGAUUAACAUCAUUCCAUUGAAGAACCACUGAAUUUUAGGCUUGGGAAUGCCAGUGACAGUAACAGACAGUUUAGCCACAUCCCCUAUGCUUAUUUCAACAUUUGACACUUCUUUGAUGAAAACUGGAACAUGGCCUUCCUUUUGGGAAUCAAAUUUCGUUGAAUGAACUGGAGGUUCAGACAAAAGUUCAAGUGUUUCCUUUCUAUUAGAUAAUUGAAGGCCAGAGCUAUUGGUUUGGAAUCCUUCUUCCUCAGCAGACAGAAGAAAACUAGAAAACUCUGUAUGGGGAAAAAUUAUUAUUAUUUUAUUAUCAGUUUUACUUAACAACAACAAAAAUAUAGAAGUCAAAGAAUUAUGUACCAGCUGAUGGCCUUCUUCUGCUUUAUUCCUGGAAUCGCUAGCGCAUCUUGAGAUUUACCAAAAAGCACAUUCCUAAUUUUUUAACCUUAGCUCAUUAUAUCAUAUUAUAUAAUUAUAGAUACUGUACUAAUGCAACUUUCAAUCCACAUCACUUGUGUUAGAGGUUACAAAUUUUAAAGCUGUUUUAUGAGUUCCUCUUUGUGAUAUAAGGUUUGAAAACCUGCUGCCUCUAUAUUUAUAAUAAAAGAAUCCAGGAUUAUUUAAAUCAAUUUCUAAAAAGAUCCAGGAUAGUUAUUUACAUUUAAGAAUUUUCUUGAGUUCAGAAUGAUAUCUAUCUUCAAAUUGAAGACCAAUGAUUUCCAAAAUAAAACAUCUAUGUUUCAGUUACUGCUUAUAAACUGAAGCUAUUCUUAAAAAUAAGAGGCUACAGAAAAUACUUAAUUUGAAUUUGUAAGAGAACCACCUCUUUCAGUUACUAGAAAUUCAGGCCUUCUUUUGCCGUGUAAAUGGCCAUAUUAUUUUAACAAAGCUUUUAUAAUAAGGCUUUUGUUGUCAAGAAAAUGGGAGAAGGAGAAAUGAAAGAAAACAACUCCAACAUUAAAAACUGGAUUGUACUUUAUUGUGUGAGAAAUACCUACACACCAUUAUGGAACAGAAAAACAAAAGAGUGAACAACGGAUAUUCUUUAAACAGGAUCAUGGAUGACAGGAUGAAGGGCUUAAUUUGAUAACAAGGAAUUCAGCUUUUCAUUAAAUCUGUUAGGAAUGUAGAACAGCACUGUUGUUAAUUGUUUUAUUACCUUCCCCCAAAGAAGUAUUAUUAUUUUAUUAAUUCACUCCCUUUGCAUCACAUGGAAUAGCCAGGCCUUAAUUCCUUUCUGUUCUGGUGUGGAAGCAUUAGAAGUCAGGACUCUAGUGUCUGUUGGCUUUAAAUGUACUGGCAAACAUUAUCUACAGCAUGUACACCACAUACU
rnacentral:lncRNA from 1 species